rnacentral:lncRNA from 1 species
GUAUUGAGAACUUGGCUGCCAAUUUAAAGACUAUAGACUUUCAGAAGGUUCUAGACGGUGUUGUCAAUGGUAAUGAGACGGGAAAUGCUAAGGCAGAAAUUCUUUCUGGUGUAUGUCUUCCACCUGCACUAGGACAUGAUUCACAGGAUGAGACAGGAAAUUCUAAGGGCAAGUUUCUUUCUGGUGUAUGUCUUCCACCUUCACUAGGAUAUGAUUCACAGUCAAGUGCUUCAGUCACAAAAGGAAGUGAAAAUGAAAGAAUCAUUGAAGAGGAGGAAGUCGUCGAGUUGGAGUUCUUUGACACGACAGCAGUUGAUAAGCUACACACACAUAAUGCAUACUGUCCU